UACGGGGGGGGCAAGCGUUGUUCGGAAUUACUGGGCGUAAAGGGCUCGUAGGCGGCCAACUAAGUCGGAUGUGAAAUCCCCAGGCUUAACCUGGGAACUGCAUCCGAUACUGGAUGGCUUGAAUCCGGGAGAGGGAUGCGGAAUUCCAGGUGUAGCGGUGAAAUGCGUAGAUAUUCGGAAGAACACCAGUGGCGAAGGCGGCUCACUGGCUCGGAACUGACGCUGAGGUGCGAAAGCGUGGGGAGCAAACAGG
rnacentral:rRNA from 1 species